GACGAACGCUGGCGGCGUGCCUAAUACAUGCAAGUAGAACGCUGAAGGAGGAGCUUGCUUCUCUGGAUGAGUUGCGAACGGGUGAGUAACGCGUAGGUAACCUGCCUGGUAGCGGGGGAUAACUAUUGGAAACGAUAGCUAAUACCGCAUAAUAGCAGUUGUUGCAUGAUAACUGUUUGAAAGGUGCAAUUGCACCACUACCAGAUGGACCUGCGUUGUAUUAGCUAGUUGGUGGGGUAACGGCUCACCAAGGCGACGAUACAUAGCCGACCUGAGAGGGGGAUCGGCCACACUGGGACUGAGACACGGCCCAGACUCCUACGGGAGGCAGCAGUAGGGAAUCUUCGGCAAUGGACGGAAGUCUGACCGAGCAACGCCGCGUGAGUGAAGAAGGUUUUCGGAUCGUAAAGCUCUGUUGUAAGAGAAGAACGAGUGUGAGAGUGGAAAGUUCACACUGUGACGGUAUCUUACCAGAAAGGGACGACUAACUACGUG
rnacentral:rRNA from 1 species